rnacentral:misc_RNA from 1 species
GCAAACUUGGUCAUUUAGAGGAAGUAAAAGUCGUAACAAGGUCUCCGUUGGUGAACCAGCGGAGGGAUCAUUACCGAGUUUCCCGCGAACUCCCACACCCCACGCGAACCCUACCUCUCCGUUGCUUCGGCGGGGCGGCCCCGGGCCCAAGGCGGCCCGGGACCAGGCCCCCCGCCGGAGGUCCCCCCCCCGAACCCCUCUGAGUGAGUGUCGCCCGCCCCCACCGGCGGGCGAAGAAGCCACGAAGCAAUGAAAACGAAUCAUUUCGAAAAGAAAAAAAAACGAAUCAAAACUUUCAACAACGGAUCUCUUGGUUCUGGCAUCGAUGAAGAACGCAGC